GACGAACGCUGGCGGCGUGCUUAACACAUGCAAGUCGAACGGUGAAGCGCCUUCCUUUUUGGUGGGUGUGGAUGAGUGGCGAACGGGUGAGUAACACGUGAGUAACCUGCCCCCUUCUUCUGGAUAACCGCAUGAAAGUGUGGCUAAUACGGGAUAUUCUGGGUCUGUCGCAUGAUGGGUCUGGGAAAGAUAUUGUUUCGGUGGGGGAUGGGCUCGCGGCCUAUCAGCUUGUUGGUGGGGUGAUGGCCUACCAAGGCGGGGACGGGUAGCCGGCUUGAGGGGGUGGACGGUCCCACUGGGACUGAGACACGGCCCGGACUCCUACGGGAGGCAGCAGUGUGGAAUAUUGCACAAUGGGCGCAAGCCUGAUGCAGCGACGCCGCGUGAGGGAUGGAGGCCUUCGGGUUGUGAACCUCUUUCGCCAGUGAAGCAGGCCUGCCUCGUUUGUGGGUGGGUUGACGGUAGCUGGAUAAGAAGCGCCGGCUAACUACGUG
rnacentral:rRNA from 1 species